UCCAGAUGAAUUGAUAAACUGGUGUUCUUUGGGGUAUGACAGUCACCAUCAUGUUAGAGUUCUGAUGGAA